UGGGAGGGAAUUUCUCCUGUGACUUCACUGGCUUUGGUUUUGCAGGAGAACAUCUCCAUGCUGCAGGACUGUGACAGGGCACAAAGGGUGAGAAGUGUCCCUCAGUGGGAGCUGAGGAUGGAGACAGGAGGAGGAAGAAGCUGUGGAAUACAGCUAUGAAAAUCUUGGCCCUGAAUACUCCCUUCCCUCCUAUCCAGGCACCAGCUGGAAGGUUCUGAUGGUGUGGAAUGUGAACGUGAUGAACUGCACUGUGAUGGCACUGCUGACACUGCUGACACUGGGGUGGCACGUGUCCCCAGGCACACCCAGCACAAGGGUUCCUGGGCAGCCCAGAACCAGAAGGAGCCCAGAUCACAGUGCUCCAAGUGUGGCCUCUCCAGUGCUGAAUCACCUGGAGAAUCACCUGCCCUCACCUCCUGGCAAUACUUUGCCUCGUGCGGCCCAGGAUUCCAUGAGACUCCUCAGUGGCAGGGGCACACUGCCAGCUCUUGUUCAGCUGUCCAUGUCCUUCCUGUGCUGGGGAUCCCAGAGCUGGACACAGCGCUCCAGGUCCUGCAGGGGAAGGGGAGAGCUUUGAGCAAUUCCAGGAGAGAGAAGAAAGCACAAAAAGAGCAAAUGGACUUGGACCAGCUUUUCCUAUUUAGACUCAUUUUUUACAGAAGUACCAGAAGUCCUGGAAGCUGGAAAACUUCAACAUGCAAAAGCUGUUGCCAAGGCUUAUGUUUUCAUGCAAUGUUUGAACUUUUGCUCCAGACGUCACAAAAUUACAUAAGAUUCCUCAUUUUUGCUAAAUAAAAAUAUACUCAUAAUGGAGAA